CGCUUCUAUGUAUCCUCCAGUUUAUUUUAAGAGUGAUGACACAAGGUCAAUCCUGCCACCCAGAUCAGAAACAAAACCCGACUGUGAGAAAUAUGACCAGUCUAUGAAUCAACCACAAGACAGCACGUAUCCUGGUGUGAGGCAUGAAGUCCUCAACAUGUUUAGAUCAAACCUGAUGAAGAAGUUUGAGCGUCUGUAU